GGGAUUGUGGCUCAGUGGUAGAGUGCUUGCCUAUCAGGUGUGAGGCCCUGGGUUCGAUCCUCAGCACCA
rnacentral:tRNA from 1 species